rnacentral:lncRNA from 1 species
UACGCUGAUCAGUGAUCGGACGGAUUGGUAACACGGGGAUUCCAUGGUCUAGCAUAUACCCGAAUUUCUCAUAAUUCAAAACGAUUUUUGAAAUUUGCUGAGCCAAUCUUUAUAAUUGGGUUUGGUCAAACGGUUGUUCUAUAGGAUAUGAGUUAAGAGUCUAGAAGCUGACUUUAUAAUCCUCAGAGAGUAAAGAUUCUAGUUAGACUUUUGUACUUGAUCCUAAUCUGUUCUAAGGUCU